rnacentral:misc_RNA from 1 species
GCUCAGCCUGGUGAAAAACAAUGACAAUGAAAAAGAAGUGGCAAAGCAGAAAAAAAAGAAGGGUCUGUUGCUCAGGCCUCAUUGGCUCUGAUGAAGUCAUAAUGUGCCGUGCGUUUCUGCUCAGUUACAAUAAGAAAAUAAGGCAAGAGUUACUGAAGCUGUCAAUUAUCUCAUUAUACAUUAAAAACUCAGAAACCAACAAUACAGCUCAACUCAGCAAAAACAGAAACCAUGUAUAGAUAUUACAAACAUUAAAAACUUCAGUACAUGUAUAUUACAGAAGAUUGACUAAAUAGAUAUUACAAAAUAUGGCAACAGCCAUCAAAAUUUUACAGAGGAUAUUCUUUCCUGUUUGAUAUUUCAGACUAUUAUUUUAGGUAUGUUAAUUAGCCUAUUUUUCAACUUUGUUCUCGAUUGUCAUUUUCCUGAGGCCUUACCUGAUUUUCACCUUUGGUCACUUAAAAGUGGCUGGGAUGCAGGUGCUGCACAAAAAAAAGAGAUGACAGUAUUAAGCUCAAAUUCUUGUCGUCCCAGACGUGGGGAAUACAUAUACAAAUGCAAUUGGAGAAGGGGAAGAAAGGUGAAGGGGGCAGGUAGCGUAAUCUAUAUGCAUAAAUUAAAGACAAGGAAGAUUGCCAACAAUUGGAUGAGAACGAUGAAAGGGAUGCUGAAAAAAAUUAUAUCUUAUGUCACAUUAUUAAAUACAAAAGUGAAAAGAAGCAGUUUCCACCAGUCCAGCAGAAUGAUAUGGCAUGCUCUACGUGAAAGUAGUACUGUGAAUUAAUUAUAUGAAGGUCACUGAAUUUAUCAUUGAAUUCCGAUGUGGUUACCAAGUCUCAAUUUGCACCAGCAAACACUCUCAACUAUAAUUUGUUUCAAUAAAAUCACUAUUACUAAAUUUUAUAAAAACUUGGCCGAAUGUUUUAGGUGAUGAAUAAAUAUGACAACCCUGUAACAUAUAUAACUAUAUUAAAAAAUUUUACUUGGCUAUCACAUAAAAAAAUGUAGGUAAAAUUCUACCAAAAUCUAGCAGCAGUAACUCUUGAAACAAAAAUUAAUAUUGAGCGACUUUGGCUUAAUCUUUACUCCUAAAUUCUAACUGUAUAAUUUUUUUUAUCAAUUAAUUCAGGUUUACGGGGAGAGGAGGAAGAAAUUAAGAGGAUCCAGUUACACACAGAAGGAACGAGGAAUGAUUGAAGCCUCAGGAAACAUGCUAAGAGGAGGCUGGACUGGAAAUCUCAUACCAUUGGAGGAAGAUGCGGACAUAAUGCCAACUGGAGAUUCUAACAAAAAAAGGGAGCUCUAGAAGCCUUUAUGCAGAAAGCAAGAAUGAAGAAGAGUGUAUGUUAUUUUUCUAUUGUAAAUAUUGGCAAAUUUGCUUGGGGCAAUAAUAGUUGUCUUGCUGGAAAGUUGGGGAAUUGUCUUCUGUUUCUUCUUAUUUCCAUUAAGCAAAUCAGAGAGUCAUACAGUAUUGUAUUCACUGUUAUUACAUUUUUAAUACAAAUUCCUGCAUCUCUCUUGAUUGAAAUCUUUUUUAGUUCCUAACUCUAACAAUAAACAAUGACAAGAUAUGAAGGUGUAACGAUAAUAAAAUUUACUUAUCAACACAAAUAUGUAAGUAAUUGAAGCACAUUUAAAUGACAAAAGAAAAAUUUCUAAAGUCAGUAUUGCAUUACAAGAAAUGUCUCGAGACGUUUUCUCUUGGGGAGGGGAUGCACAUAAACGGAUAUCCCAGUUAAUUUAUUUCUACUUUCAGAUAUUCAAAAUUGGCCCUAGAUUUAAUUGUUCUAAACACUUAAAAGCCCAUAUAAGCUCUAAAAAACCUUUUGGCUGAAAUCAUAAAUGAGAAAUUUCUCAAGUGUACUUUAUUUUGUUUUUGUUGUGUUCUUAGGAAGGGUAUAAUGCUAUGUAAGCAUUCAGUAGCAUUCAACUGCAAAAAAUAAUUCAAAUUCUAGUACUGGCUAUAUAUAUCUCUGUGUAUUUGGGUAUGUGUGCGUGUGCGUGUGCGUGUGCGUGUGCGUGUGCGUGUGC